UGGAGGUUGUGCCCUUGAGGCGUGGCUUCCGGAGCUAACGCGUUAAGUCGACCGCCUGGGGAGUACGGCCGCAAGGUUAAAACUCAAAUGAAUUGACGGGGGCCCGCACAAGCGGUGGAGCAUGUGGUUUAAUUUCGAUGCAACGCGAAGAACCUUACCUGGUCUUGACAUCCACGGAAGUUUUCAGAGAUGAGAAUGUGCCUUCGGGAACCGUGAGACAGGUGCUGCAUGGCUGUCGUCAGCUCGUGUUGUGAAAUGUUGGGUUAAGUCCCGCAACGAGCGCAACCCUUAUCCUUUGUUGCCAGCGGUCCGGCCGGGAACUCAAAGGAGACUGCCAGUGAUAAACUGGAGGAAGGUGGGGAUGACGUCAAGUCAUCAUGGCCCUUACGACCAGGGCUACACACGUGCUACAAUGGCGCAUACAAAGAGAAGCGACCUCGCGAGAGCAAGCGGACCUCAUAAAGUGCGUCGUAGUCCGGAUUGGAGUCUGCAACUCGACUCCAUGAAGUCGGAAUCGCUAGUAAUCGUGGAUCAGAAUGCCACGGUGAAUACGUUCCCGGGCCUUGUACACACCGCCCGUCACACCAUGGGAGUGGGUUGCAAAAGAA
rnacentral:rRNA from 1 species